UAAACCAAUUCCCUUAUCUACACAUCAGGCAUCUAGUUCAACUCCCCCUUCCAACCUUGACUUCACUGACCAGGUAUGUGACAGAAUUUAUGAUGCUGACCCAGUUCAGACGCUGAGAUGAACUCUCUGGCCUGUCACGGUUUAGGUGUUUGCAGGAACUCAAGGACAAAAAAGGAGAGUAAUCUCAAGUUGCUUGGCAGCAAGUCUGCUAGAAAAGGCAACAUAAUUAGCAAGACCUUAGCCAUAAAUAUAAGGAAAGAUUGGCUUCUAGGGAGGUAUCAAGAAUGACAGAAAUUCAGCCAUUUGAGUCUGAAGGGAAAAGAUAUAUCCAAAAUGCACUGUGUUUUUCUGUAUGGUUUAACUCAAACUUGAAUUUUGCUGUUCAUAGACACUCCAAAGAAAUGUGCCUUUUUUUUUUUUUGCCAUAAAAUCAAAUUUAGGGAGACUGUAAUUACAGGUAACCAUGUACUUUUCAACCCACUCCCCCUCCAAAAAAAGGCAAUAGUUCUAUCAUGCUUACAUGGUAAAAUAAUUGUGUACUCUAUGAAGUUUUUGUUUCACUGUUUUUUAUACACACAGAGAGAGAGCCAUAUAAAAGUUGUCAAGGGGAAAUUUGCUUUGAUUCAUUUUAGCUUCUGGAGCUUGAUUUUUCAGUACCAUGAGCCUGUACCAAGCCUAUGAUUUUUCUGUCUGAAACACAAAGGCUGAAUUUGGUAUUCUUAUUUUAGGUCUAAACGAUCUGACUGUGCUUUAAAGAACACAGGAAGGAAAGGAAGAAGAAAAAGAUGGGGGAAAGCUCUUCAGAUUCCAAAUAUCAAGCAAAGAGCCUGCCUACCUCCACCCGACCCUGCCUCAGACCAUGACACUGGGAGUUACCCCUUCUCAGAAACACAUAGAAUUAAUAUCAACAAAGAGGAAGGAGCAGGAGAAUUGAUGUACCUUGAAGGCUUGUUUUAUUCCAGGCUUCAGGUUAGGGAUUUAACAAGCAAAAAUCUCCUUUUUCCUUCGUGAUGGUCCUGAAAGGUAGAUGCCAUCAUUACUUCCCAUUGCAGUUUUCUGUUGCUGCUUAGCAAACCACCCCCAGCCUUCAUGUCUCACAGUUCUGUGGUUGACUGUGCUCAGCUUGGUGGUUCUCCCUUGGGGUAUCUCGUGUUGUUGCAGUCAGAUAGCAGCUGGGCUGGAGUCAUCUGAAGCCUCAUCUGGGCUGGAUGUCUGAAAUGGCUUCUUCACUGACAUCUCUGCGUUUCAGCUGACAUGGCUGAAACAGCUGGGGACUGGCCAGUAUCUCUGUCUUCCUCUCAGUGUGGUUAGCUCAGGCUCACUCACAGCAUGGCGGUGGCUUCCUUUAGCAGGAGUGUUCUAAGGAAGGAAGCAGAAGCUGUUGAUCUCUUAAGGCCUGUGCACGGCAACUGGCACGGCAUCACUUCAGCUAUAUUGGUCAGUCCCAGAACCCACCCAGGUUCGGGCACAAGGGGAACAGAUCCUCCUUCCUGAAAAGCAGACAUUGACAUCCUCACCAGCUUUCCAAACAUCUGAUCCAUUGCUCCUAAGCCUUCCAUGGUAUUCGGAAAAGACUAAAGGACUGAACAAGAGAAAAGGAAAGGUGCUUGCCUAAAGGAACAAGAAACACCCACUGGAGGCGAGUCUCCUGCAUCUUCACUGAGGAUGACUUGUAAGAGCCUUUCAAUCAUUCUAUUUUAAAAAUUAAGAAGAACCAUGGCUCAGAAGCAGCAUCUGGAUGAAAGAGGGGAGAGAAUUCAUUUUGAGCUACUCAUUUUCUAAGAGCUUUCUGAGGGUGGAAAUAGCACCAGAUGGAAUGCAAAGAAUCCUGUAAGCAUGCAAGGAUCCUGCCCCUUCUCUCUCCAACCCAUCAUUUGCCCAGAAGACUAAGGAGCGAAGAGGAAUAAGAAUUGGUCCUGCAGGAGUGAUGCUCUUGGGAUAUUGCCAGGAUUCUAAGAUCAGGCAGGCUCUAGCCACGUGACUUUCCUUGGAGGCUCCAGGCUGAGAUCGGCCACGCCAUGUGCAACUCUCAGCUCAAAGAGACAACCUCUCUCCCAGCGUCUCCAGCAAGAGUUCCAGGAUUGAGUCUCAUUGGCCUGGCGUGGGUUAUAUUCUCAACCCAAAGGCGAUCAUAUCGGCCAAGAGGAUAGCAAAUGAUGAUUGAUCAGGUGUAGAUCACAUGCCCAGCCCUGGAGCAGAGCAGGUGAGGUCUGGAUUCCCCCCUGAUGGCUGGGACCAGGAGUGAAAACAGGUUGCUCAUCAUUAGGAAAUGAAUGCCAGGCAGGUCAAAGAGCAGAUCUCCAGCUCAUGCCCCCCUCACGUGUAAACGAACAGUCUCUUCUGGGGUCUUAGCUGACUCGUGUGGGUCCUGGAAUAGAGCAGGCCCUUCCUGGGCCCGGGGACGCUGCCUUAGGCUCCUUGAGAGCUUCGCACUUCUCUCGUUCCCUUUUAGUGUAUCUCUCUGGAACACAGAAAAAUGGGCUUUAAACGGCAUUUCUGAAAGGGCCUUCAUCUCCAACGACUGGCCCACGCGCACUGGACAAUCAGAACAUCAAGGGGAGGGUGGCGGGGAAGGCAGAGAUAUUUGUAUCUCCAGGUCUAAGUUCCAGCUGUACCACCUGCUUCCCAUGUGCUCUUGGACAGGGUAAUCAAAGGAAUUACUCCCUACCUCAAAGACUGGUGAGGCUGUGAAUACUUGAAAUUACGAGAAAGCACUUGAUAGACUAUCAGUAGUUAUGGUAAUAGCUGUGUGUCAGUACAUACAUUAUAUUUCUUGCUUUUUAAAUUUGUAUUUAUUUGGCCAUGCUUUUAAUAUAUAAAUAAGUAAUUUAUUUAUAUAAUUAAUAGACAAAUAUUUAUUGAUCGGGUUUUUGUUGCUGCAUGGGAUUUUCUCUGGUUGAGGCAAGCAGGGGCUCCUCUCUGACUGUGGCACACGGGCUUCUCCUUGCGAUGGCUUCUCUGCUUGCAGAGCACAGCCUCAAGAGUCGUGGCACUGGGCUUACUUGCUUCAGGGCCUGUGGAUCUUCCCAGGCCAGGGACUGAACCCAUGUCUCCUGCAUGGCAGGCGGAUUCUUUACCACUGAGCCACCAGGGAAGCCCUAUUUCUUACAUUUUAAAGUAAAGAGAAAUGAGUCCUGGAGAGGCUAAGAAACUUAGUCACAGUUACCCAGUUGGUAGAGUUGAGCUUUGAAUCCCGGUCUUUGUCACCCCAAAGCCUACAUUUUGUCCACCAUGCAGAUGGUGGCAGACACCUCAGAUUGCCUCCAGAAACUAUCCCUUUCCCUCAUCAUUCUUUCUUCCUAACCAGCAAGACCCUAUUUUGCUCUGGGUAGAAAUGGGCCUAGCUCUUCAUCAUGCCUCAUGAUUGGUCUAGGCUAACCCUAACUCUCCCGUUUCCCUCUACAGAAUAUUUACUUCCCCAGGCUCCUUUACCACAAGAAGUGACCAGUGAGAUAUAAAGGGGGGGUCUUCUGAGGGAGGUUUUGGGAAUCACCUUCUACCUAGUUAAAAAGAAACACGGCUUCUUCCUUCCCCAUUCUCUUCUGCUUGGACCACUUGUGUGGAGACAUAUGCCUGGAGCCAUUGCACCCAUCUUGUGAUCAUAAGGUAACAAGCACAAGGAUAAAAAGUCAACUCGAUGGCGAUACAGAAGCCUAGCUCUUUGUGGACACCUUUGAGUCAGUGAAAAAAAAUGAAUGAACUCACCUCCUUCCAGACUUUCUGACAAAAUCUGAUCCAUGAGAAGGGACCCAGGCUGCCCCACAGUGCAUGUGGGAUGGCCGUCCGCCCAGACUGAAGUGCAGCUGCCCUUUCGCUUUCCUGCUUUCCACCCCUGCCAAGGUUUAUCUCCCAGCAGUGAUUACUAUCUGUGCCCAGUGGAGCUCCUACCACCGUCUGGAGCCACCAGAGACACCUUGGUCUUGUGGUUUGCCAGAAGAGUGACUUCCGCCACCAUUAGAGCCAGGGUUUCUGCCUCUGACAUCUUGGUCGUUUCCUGAAACAAAAUUUGAAGGUUAAUCGUAAUUGACCAAGGAAGGGCAUUGUGGGUUCUGCCACCUCCCUCAUUCCCACAUUAUUUACCUUCUCCACCAGGGCUGUCACCAAGGCCACCGUAACCACUGAAGUUUUUGCCCAUCAAUAAAGUGGAUUCUAUUACAGUAUCACUCAGCCUUCUUAUUUACUUCUAUACUGUUCAACUAAUCUCUUGAGAGGAGUUCUUUGGUGUCUAACUUAGCCAGGUUGGCAGGCCGUCAAGAGCCUUCUCUUGAGAAAAGCUUAUUUGGCUCGCCUUGAAGUUUGCUUGUCCAUCCACCUUCAGU